rnacentral:rRNA from 1 species
AUUGAACGCUGGCGGCAGGCCUAACACAUGCAAGUCGAGCGGAGCGGCGGACGGGCGAGUAAUUCCUAGGAAUCUGCCUGGUCGUGGGGGAUAACGUCCGUCAACGGGCGCUAAUCCCGCAUACUAUCAGAUGAGCCUAGGGCGGAUUCGCUAGUUGGUGGGGUAAAGGCCUACCAAGGCGACGAUCCGUAACUGGUCUGAGAGGAUGAUCAGUCACACUGGAACUGAGACACUGUCCAGACUCCUACGGGAGGAAGCAGUGGGGAAUAUUGGACAAUGGGCGAAAGCCUGAUCCAGCCAUGCCGCGUGUGUGAAGAAGGUCUUCGGAUUGUAAAGCACUUUAAGUUGGGAGGCGUUACCAACAGAAUAAGCACCGGCUAACUUCGUGCCAGCCGCCGCGGUAAUUC